ACCCCACGACGCCCGCGCCCCCACCCUCGCACAGCCUCCAGCAACACCCUGCCACCCUCCCCUCCGCGCAGCGCAAGCACCCUGCAUGCCAGCAACUCCGCACCCUCGCGCGCAGCACCUGGGCCCGCACGCAGCACCCUCACCCAACACCCUCCAUUUCCCGCGCUCACCGAGAUCCCCCACCUGCUCCCACGCCGCUGUCGCCCUCCCGCGCACCCCUUCCCGCCCUCCUCACCCCUCUCCUCUCCAGCUUUCGCACCCCGCACCGUUCCCCCACCGUGCCGUCCCCCCGAUUGUCUCCGGGCCUCUCCUCCGUCUCCC
rnacentral:lncRNA from 1 species